GACGAACGCUGGCGGCGUGCUUAACACAUGCAAGUCGAGCGGAGCGGCGAACGGGUGGGUACCGCGUGAGUAACUGCCCCCCUCUCUGGGAUAACCGUUGGAAACGGCUGCUAAUACCGGAUAGUGGGGGAUGACGCGCGUCCUAUCAGAUUGUGGGGGGGGUAGUGGCCUACCAAGGCGACGCCGGGUAGCCGGCAUGAGAGGGCGACCGGCCACAUUGGGCUGAGAUACGGCCCAAACGCCUACGGGGGGCAGCAGUGGGGAAUAUUGCACCAUGGGGGAAACCCUGAUGCAGCAACGCGCGUGCGGGAUGACGGCCUUCGGGUUGUAAACCGCUUUCAGCCAUGACGCGGUAGUGGCAGAAGAAGCACCGGCUAACUACGUGCCAGCAGCCGCGGUAAUUC
rnacentral:rRNA from 1 species